rnacentral:rRNA from 1 species
UACGGAGGGGGCGAGCGUUAUUCGGAAUUAUUGGGCGUAAAGGGCGCGUAGGCGGCCUGGUCAGUCGAAGGUGAAAUCCCCGAGCUCAACUUGGGAACUGCCUUCGAUACUGCCGGGCUUGAGUCCGGGAGGGGAGAGUGGAAUUCCCAGUGUAGCGGUGAAAUGCGUAGAUAUUGGGAGGAACACCGGUGGCGAAGGCGGCUCUCUAGACCGGUUCUGACGCUGAGGCGCGAAAGCGUGGGUAGCAAACAGG